AUACCUACCUGGUAGGGGAGAUACCAGGCUCAAGAAGAUGGUUUUCCCAGGGUGAGGCCUAUCUAUUGCAUUCUAGAUGUGCUGACCUCUUCAAUUUUCCCAAAUGUGGGAACUUGUCCAAUUUGUGGUAGUGGGGGACUGCAUUUGUGCUCUCCCCUG
rnacentral:snRNA from 1 species